rnacentral:snRNA from 19 species
AUACCUUCUCGGCCUCAAGGCUAAGAUCAAGUGUAGUAUCUGUUCUAAUCAGUGUGAAAACUGGUUUUCGCCUUUUGGCGGACUUUUUCACUCGCAUUUUUGGGCAAUCGUCUGCGGCUAGCUUGCUAGCGGCGGACGAGCGGUCUCCGGGGGCGUUCACCUUUCCCCCGCGAGGCCAACUACAC